GCUCGCACUUUGAGAUAAGCCUACGUCGGAUUAGCUUGUUGGUAGGGUAAAGGCCUACCAAGGCGACGAUCCGUAGCUGGUUUGAGAGGAUGAUCAGCCACACUGGGACUGAGACACGGCCCAG
rnacentral:rRNA from 1 species